AUGCCCUAGGGUUUCGAAGGAAGGAGAGAUCGGAUCCAAUUACGUGCUGUAACCCACAGAUCGGUUCUGGGAUGUUUCCUUCUUUGCUGUGAUUGAGGUUUCGGUUGAAGUGGGGGAGGAUUUCAGCAGAGUUGCUGUGGUUUCUUUGAUCCAGCAAGGAAAUUCCUCUCAUUGUGCUGUCGGCAGAGGCUUCAUAUCAGUGAGGACUCUGAUUCGAGACGGGCGUCUCGACUUCGGAUUUGGAUUGUACCUGCUAUUUGAGGCGGGUACCCUUUGACUUAUCUUGUUGAUAUUGUCUUGUGAUAUGUGCAGUUUAUAUAUGUUUACUAGUAAUUGGUAGAUCUUUCUCUUCUCUGGUUAUAGUUUAUUCUAUACCUGUAGGCGAUUAUUAGUGAUUGGUAGUUAGCAUAUUCCCUGGUUUAGUUACUUGAUACUUGAUACAUGUUGCUACGAUUAACAUCUAUACCUUAGUCUAGCAUGCUUUU